UACGUAGGGUGCAAGCGUUAAUCGGAAUUACUGGGCGUAAAGCGUACGCAGGCGGCUUUGCAAGACAGGUGUGAAGUCCCCGGGCCUAACCUGGGAACUGCAUUUGUGACUGCAUGGCUAGAGUUUGUCAGAGGGGGGUGGAAUUCCACGUGUAGCAGUGAAAUGCGUAGAUAUGUGGAGGAACACCGAUGGCGAAGGCAGCCCCCUGGGAUGUGACUGACGCUCAUGUACGAAAGCGUGGGGAGCAAACAGG
rnacentral:rRNA from 1 species